rnacentral:rRNA from 1 species
GACGAACGCUGGCGGCGUGCCUGACACAUGCAAGUCGGACGGUUCUUGCACCUUCAAGCUUGCUUGCUGGUGCAAGGAUAGUGGCGGACGGGUGAGUAACGCGUGAACAUCUACCCAUUGGAGGGGGACAACCCGUCGAAAGGCGGGCUAAUACCGCGUAAGCCGCGAGGUGAGAGGCUGCCUAUUGGUGGCCGCCGAUGGAUGGGUUCGCGUCCUAUCAGCUGGUUGGUGGGGUAACGGCCUACCAAGGCGAAGACGGGUAGCCGGUCUGAGAGGAUGGCCGGCCACACUGGAACUGAGACACGGUCCAGACUCCUACGGGAGGCAGCAGUGGGGAAUAUUGGGCAAUGGGGGUAACCCUGACCCAGCGACGCCGCGUGAGGGACGAAGGUUUUCGGAUCGUAAACCUCUGUUGUACGGGAAGAAGGAAUUGACGGUACCGUACGAGAAAGCCCCGGCAAACUACGUGCCAGCAGCCGCGGGUAAGCUAGUCUACG